rfam:Spinacia oleracea cultivar SynViroflay scaffold12712.con0008.1, whole genome shotgun sequence.
UUUAUUAUUCUUGCUUCAUAUAAACAUUGUCCCUUUCGGAACGAUACAAAGAAGAUUAGUAUGGCUCCUGCACGAAGAUUACACGCACAAAUCUACUUUGUUU